GCUUGUCUCAAAGAUUAAGCCAUGCAUGUCUAAGUAUAAGCACUUUAUACUGUGAAACUGCGAAUGGCUCAUUAAAUCAGUUAUAGUUUAUUUGAUAAUACCUUACUACUUGGAUAACCGUGGUAAUUCUAGUGCUAAUACAUGCUUUAAGCCCCGACUUCUGGAAGGGGUGUAUUUAUUAGAUAAAAAACCAAUCGUAGUAAUACGUUUACAGGUGAAUCAUGAUAACUAUUCGAAUCGCAUAGCUUUGCUGGCGAUGGUUCAUUCAAAUUUCUGCCCUAUCACCUUUCGAUGGUAGUAUAGAGGACUACCAUGGGUAUAACGGGUAACGGAGAAUUAGGGUUCGAUUCCGGAGAGGGAGCCUGAGAAACGGCUACCACAUCCAAGGAAGGCAGCAGG
rnacentral:rRNA from 1 species